AUGGAACCUGCAGCGGACACCCAGUCAAAAACCAGCGGUGGCAGCGGCGCCGCCAGGAAGCCGGAUCUUGGUGACUUUCUCGAGCAACUCAAUCUGGAAGAUGAAGUCUUUGAUGAUCUGGUAAUUGAUGAGGAUGAUCCUGAGAUCAAUGAAAGUGUGAGAUGGCUUGCCCUCGCUAGGGUUCACACGGACAAAACUUUCAGCCAAGCAGCCUUCUACAAAGAUAUGCGUGCGGCGUGGAACCCGGCGCAGAAAGUAAGGUUUAGGCUGGUCGGCCACAAUUUGUUUGUCGUGUAGGCAUCAUGCCUAGGAGAUUGGGAGCGCAUGGUAUAGCAGGGUCCAUGGCUGUUCAGAAAUUGGAUUGUGCUGAUGUGCCCAUAUGAUGGAUUUACCAAGGCGGAGGAGGUGCUGAUGGUGUUUAUGCCAAUUUGGCUCCAGAUCCACAAGCUACCGGACGGGUUUUGCAAGACGAGUAUAGUGGAAUCGUUACUUAUGAACGCUGGUGAAAUCUUGGAGAUGAGGUUGAACAGGAAUACCCGUGGCGACUAUGUCAGAAUUAGGGUUCACCAUGAUAUUCGCCAACCCCUCACAAAGUUCGUAAGCAUUGUCAGGAAAAAGCGACAGGUGUUCUUAGUUCGGUAUGAGAAACUGGCACGAUUCUGUAGUGUCUGUGGAAUAAUUGGACAUGAUUCAAGGAAUGUGGUACAUGAGGAGAAGAACAAGAAAUUUGGAGGUUGGCUCUACGCGGAUGGACUGAACAAGACACGUACUGAUGAGGUGUUCGGUCGAAGUGGUGAGCAGAAGCAGACUGAGAAUUCCUAG
rnacentral:rRNA from 1 species